AGGAGCCCUGCUGGGUUAUGUCGCCGCCUUGUGGAUGCGGAGCAGAAUGCAUCUUAUGGGAGACUGGACCCAACCAAAGCGCUCCUGAAUGUCUCCCAAUAUUGUUUUCACUUUCUGUUCAUCACACAGAGCCAGGGAGAAACACACACAGAGAGACACCAGAACACUAUCUGGUUCAAGCUAAUGGUGGUGCCGGGGAUUGAAACUGGGUUCUUGAAGCCACAGGCAUGAAAGUCUUUGGCAGAACCCCUAAGAUAGCUCCUAAGCACAAGAUCCAGGAAGAAAAACACACAGAGAAGCACCAGAACACUGUCAGCUCAAGUCAAAGGUGGUGCUGGGGACUGAAACUGGUUCCUUGAAGCCAUGGGCAUGAAAGACUUUGCCAGAACUCCUAAGAUAGAUCCUAAGCACAAGCCACCAGGUUCCAGAUGCCAUCAGGAUGCCGGCCAGGCUUCCCUGGACUGAAGACCCCACCAAUGUGUCCUGGAGCUCCGCUUCCCCAGAGCCCCACCCUACUAGGGAAAGAGAGAGGCAGACUGGGAGUAUGGACCGACCAGUCAACGCCCAUGUUCAGCAGGGAAGCAAUUACAGA